GAUGAACGCUGGCGGCGUGCCUAAUACAUGCAAGUCGAACGAAACUUCUUUAUCGCCGAGUGCUUGCACUCACCGAUAAAGAGUUGAGUGGCGAACGGGUGAGUAACACGUGGGCAACCUGCCCAAAAGAGGGGGAUAACACUUGGAAACAGGUGCUAAUACCGCAUAACCAUAGUUACCGCAUGGUAACUAUGUAAAAGGUGGCUAUACUACCGCUUUUGGAUGGGCCCGCGGCGCAUUAGCUAGUUGGUAGGGUAAAGGCUUACCAAGGCAAUGAUGCGUAGCCGAAUUGAGAGGUUGAUCGGCCACAUUGGGACUGAGACACGGCCCAAACUCCUACGGGAGGCAGCAGUAGGGAAUCUUCCACAAUGGGCGAAAGCCUGAUGGAGCAACGCCGCGUGGGUGAAGAAGGUCUUCGGAUCGUAAAACCCUGUUGUUAGAGAAGAAAGUGCGUGAGAGUAACUGUUCACGUUUCGACGGUAUCUAACCAGAAAGCCACGGCUAACUACGUG
rnacentral:rRNA from 1 species